UUCGACCGAUCGAGCGGGAUGAAUCUCCCGGCGAUCGCCUGCGCCCUCCUCCUACUUCUCCAUCUCAAUGUUUCUCCCGUGGCGUCGUCCCGGCCGCAGCCACAGGGGCUCGGGAAGGGGCGCCACCACGACCAUAACGGGCACAGCGGCAACGACGGGCACCAACACCAUCACUCCGACGACUACAACGGGUACAGCUUCUACGUCUUCGGCGACUCCUUCGCCGACAACGGCAACCUCGUCAAGAUGAACCCAUUAUCCGAGCUCAAUCGCCAGUGGCGCCCUCCAUACAGGGCCAACGGCCGCUUCUCCAACAGCAUGGUUGAAUCCGACUUCAUCGCCUCCAUGUUAGGGCAGAUGAAAUCCCCUCCGGCGCACAGCCUCACGCGCAAGGUCGGCCCGGCCGGCUUGAACUUCGCUGCCGGCGGCUCCGGUGUGUAUGACGUGCCGCACACCCACACGCUCGCCAGGCAGAUCCACACCUUCCACAAGCUCGUCAAGGACGGAGACAUCCACCAAGAGCGCCUCGCAUCAAAAUCCGUCGCGCUCGUCGCCGUCUCCGGCAACGACUACGCCCGCCUCCCCGCCGACACCAAAAGCUUCGCCGAGGUGGACGAUUUCGCCAAGAAUGUGGCCGAGGAGAUCGCGGCGAAUGUGCGGCGCCUAAAGGACAUCGGCAUGCAGAAGGUGCUCGUCAACAACCUCUUCCCUUUCGGCUGCGCGCCGUCGCAGACCAGGGCGUACAACCACACCCGCUGCAACGAGCGGCGCAACCUGGCCGCCACACUCCACAACCACCACCAUGCCAAGAAGCUGGCCGACAUGGAGGACGUGCUGGUGGUAGACCUGAACGCCGCCUUCAGCAUGGUCCUCCGGGACGACGGGAGCGUUGACAUCGCCAAUCUCUUUAGGGAGAAGCUUGUGCCGUGUUGCGAGAGCACGGACCCCAAGGGGUACUGCGGGCAGGUAGACCCGGAGACGUUGGAUCCGCUCUACGACGUGUGCGACGAACCCCACGUGUUCUUCUUUUGGGAUGAGAUGAACCCGACCAUGGUCGGGUGGCAGGCCGUCAUGGGCCCGCUCGACUUCCCCAUCAGAAAGUUCCUAGGCCUU
rnacentral:rRNA from 1 species